rnacentral:rRNA from 1 species
AACGAACGCUGGCGGCAUGCCUAACACAUGCAAGUCGAACGCCCUCUUCGGAGGGAGUGGCGCACGGGUGCGUAACGCGUGGGAACCUGCCCUUAGGUUCGGAAUAACUCAGAGAAAUUUGAGCUAAUACCGGAUAAUGUCUUCGGACCAAAGAUUUAUCGCCUUUGGAUGGGCCCGCGUUGGAUUAGCUAGUUGGUGGGGUAAAGGCCUACCAAGGCGACGAUCCAUAGCUGGUCUGAGAGGAUGAUCAGCCACACUGGGACUGAGACACGGCCCAGACUCCUACGGGAGGCAGCAGUGGGGAAUAUUGGACAAUGGGCGAAAGCCUGAUCCAGCAAUGCCGCGUGAGUGAUGAAGGCCUUAGGGUUGUAAAGCUCUUUACUGGGGAUGAUAAUGACAGUACCUGGAGAAUAAGCUCCGGCUAACUCCGUGCCAGCAGCCGCGGU